rnacentral:rRNA from 1 species
CCUACGGGUGGCAGCAGUGGGGAAUAUUGGGCAAUGGAGGCAACUCUGACCCAGCAAUGCCGCGUGAGUGAUGAAGGUAAUUUUAUUGUAAAGCUCUUUUCUUUGGAACGAAUAAAUGACGGUACCAAAGGAAUAAGCCCCGGCUAACUACGUGCCAGCAGCCGCGGUAAUACGUAGGGGGCAAGCGUUGUUCGGAAUGACUGGGCGUAAAGGGUGUGUAGGGGGUUUGUUAAGUUAGAUGUGUAAUACCCAGGGCUUAACUCGGGUGCUGCAUCUAAAACUGUUAGACUUGAGUACCGGAGAGGUCAUCGGAAUGCCUGGUGUAGCGGUGAAAUGCGUAGAUAUAAGGAAGAACACCAGUGGCGAAGGCGGAUGACUGGACGGCAACUGACGGUGAGGCGCGAAAGCGUGGGGAGCAAACAGGAUUAGAUACCCCUGUAGUC